GCUUUCCUCAGUGCCUUUGUGCUCCAGAAAGCCGCCCAGGAUCACAGAAAUAUGUACUUUGGCUCAUUGGCCCCCUGGAGCACUGAUAGUACCCUACAAGCUGACACUGGAAGAAGAAAGACCAUAAAAUGCUCUCUGAAUCCAUAAGGACAACACCAUUGGCACAGAUAGGAAUUUUGCUCUGAAGUGACAGCACUCCUCUUCUGAAACAUGACCUAAUGACUAUAAAGGGUUUCUUUGGAAACACCAUAUUUUGUCAUUAAACUGUCUUUACCACAUCACAUGCUCCCAAACCAUUCUAUACCAAUGUUCCCAGAGAGUUAAAGAUGGCUCUGAAGAAAACCUGUCAUCUGUAAUAAAGAAA
rnacentral:lncRNA from 1 species